UUGGAGCGGAUUCACUGCAGUUUGUAUGCUGGGGAAGAAGAACAGGGGGCCUGUGAACAACUGAUGCACUGGGGGAUAGAUCAUCUCUGAGCAGACAACAAUCAGUUAGUUGAGCAGGUGGCCCUCCUGACUGCAAGGUUGCGCAGAGGCAAACAGCCAGGCCACACCGCAAAUGCCCAGUAGCUGUGCUGGAUAAGUUUAACGGCUUGCUGGCCCAAUUUCCAGUUGGUUUUUUUGGGGGCAGUGACAGCUUUAUAUGAGUCUUCGGCUGAGGACUUCCCCACUGACCAGGAUAAGGUGGGGGUUUUGAUAAGCCUUUUGUUGGGGUCAGUGGUGCGUUGGAGGCCGCCCCUGCUGACCCAGCCCAACCAGCUGUUGGAUAAUUAUGCCGAGCUUUGCCAUCAGGUAAAGGGCCAUGUUUGAGGACCCUGUUAGGGCUCAAACGGCUAACAAGUAGUAGGACUGAGGAUGAGGAUAGUGAGUGGAGUUAUUCCACUGGACCAGGCAGCAAUAAUAUGGACAUUUUGAGGGAGCGCUUUGGGGAGGCCAGUUUCCGGGAUGCCCCCUCCUGGCAGCCAUGGGCAAUUGGGCUGUAGCCGGCAACCAUGUGGCAACCCAGGAGAGGUGGGUCCUGGCCCGGAUACCCGCUUUCAUCUUGCCAGCCAGAAGCUGCACCUGGAUCCAAACUUGGUUUAAGAAGAAGGAAGCAAUGACUUUGCAGCAGUGUAUUCAAUCUGGUGAGACUUUUCUAAUUUCUACAGUGGAAUAAAACUUCCCAAGAAAGUACUUUUGGAAAGUGGGAUUCUAUAAAAUAGGAGGAAGGGAAUGCUCUCCCGCCUCUGAAAGACUAGUGGCAAGUAAGAUUUGGAACUGAUGACAGAUCCAGACAAAAGAGAAGGAGAAGGAAAAUCUAAAAAGAAAGAGAAAGACUAGACUGGUUAUUUUUGAAAAAAAGUUAAAAUUUGUUUAAGACUUUUUCCUUCUUGGGUUUUUCUUUUUAUUUAUUUAUAUAUAUAUAUAAUUUUGAGUAAGGAACUGUGAUGGCCCAAAGAAUAAAUUUUUGGAUUUUUUUAAAAGUGUGCUGAAAAAAUGGAGAGAAAGACACCUAGGCGUUGGGCUUGGUCUCUGGGUGUUAUGUGAAUUUUGUUGUAUGGUUAUACUGUGUAUAUACGUACAAUGCCAACUUUAUAUAUAUAUAGAAGAUUACUAGUUUUGGAGGGACAUGAUCUCCGAUUGGGGUAGCAUGUUUUUCUGUGGUAUAAUAAGAAUAAAAUAUUUCCAAAGACACUAUAUAAGAAAUCAGGUACUACAAAAUAAAUGUGGCGAACCCAUACGGACAUACUUAAGGGAAUAUCGUUUGCCUUUGCCACAGAAAGGAAUUGGUAAGUUUGCAGCAGUUUCACUGCCAUUUGUAUGCUGGGAAAGCAGAACGGUGCCUGUGAAAAACUGAUGAAUUGAGGGAGGGGGCAGCUGGUCACAGGCAGAUAAUAAGCAUCUGCCCAUUUUCCCUUGCUUCACUUUUGUCAUGGCUGCACAGCAUUGGCUCAUGACAUUCCCUUUUCUGUGCCUUUCUCUCUCAGAAUAUUGAUUAAAUCACCCUUCCCCAAGCUGAUAUUCUCCCAAUUUGUUGAAUUACAGUUCAGAUAAUCCUCACCAAUGACAUUGGCUGCGUUGGCAGGAGGUGAUGGAAAGUGUAGGCGAGCACAACUGGAGGGACCAGAUAGUGGAAGUGUAAUGGCCCACCAGCAGCCAGCGGAGCCAACUUGGACAGUGAGGAGGUUGGAGAGGAAUAUGGACCAGUCCUGGAGUCUGGGGAAUCUCUGAUGAGUGCUCUGUGCCGGAGGCAGAGAUGCAGUCAGGACUAUUCAACAGUUAUCAGCUACCUUUGGAGUUGGAGAUAAGUGGGCUCAAGAACAGAAAUCAGACAAAUACUCAUGAGGGAGAUAAAUGUGGAGAAACCGUAAGGACGUUACCUGACGGAAUAUCGUUCGCCUUUGCCACAGAAAGGGAUUGUUCAGAUAAUCCUCACCAAUGACAUUGGCUGCGUUGGCAGGAGGUGAUGGAAAAUGUAGGCGAGCACAACUGGAGGGACCAGAUAGUGGAAGUGUUAUGGCCCACCAGCAGCCAGCGGAGCCAACUUGGACAGUGAGGAGGUUGGGGAGGAAUAUGGACCAGUCCUGGAAUCUGGGGAAUCUCUGAUGAGUGCUCUGUGUCGAAGGUAGAGAUGCGAUCAGGACUAUUCAACAGUUAUCAGCUACCUUUGGAGUUGGAGAUAAGUGGGCUCAAGAACAGAAAUCAGACAAAUACUCAUGAGGGAGAUAAAUGUGGAGAAACCGUAAGGACGUUACCUGACGGAAUAUCGUUCGCCUUUGCCACAGAAAGGGAUUGUUCAGAUAAUCCUCACCAAUGACAUUGGCUGCGUUGGCAGGAGGUGAUGGAAAGUGUAGGCGAGCACAACUGGAGGGACCAGAUAGUGGAAGUGUAAUGGCCCACCAGCAGCCAGCGGAGCCAACUUGGACAGUGAGGAGGUUGGAGAGGAAUAUGGACCAGUCCUGGAGUCUGGGGAAUCUCUGAUGAGUGCUCUGUGCCGGAGGCAGAGAUGCAGUCAGGACUAUUCAACAGUUAUCAGCUACCUUUGGAGUUGGAGAUAAGUGGGCUCAAGAACAGAAAACAGACAAAUACUCAUGAGGGAGAUAAAUGUGGAGAAACCGUAAGGACGUUACCUGACGGAAUAUCAUUCGCCUUUGCCACAGAAAGGGAUUGACUGAAUUUCCUACUUCCUAGGUGGGCCUGGGUCACAACAGGAUGGAGGAAAAAGGAGAGGAAGGAAGGACUACAAACCUGGCACUAGAUGCAACAUCAGAGGAUAAUCCAGGGCUGGAAGGGACCUGGAGGUCAACUAGUCCAACCCUGCUCCAGCAGACAUUAUUACUGAGUUUCUGCCUUUUGAUCCCCCACUCACAUAGCCAUUCUCACUCAGUCACAUGACCCCCCCCACCAAGCCACGCCCACCAAGCCACGCCCACAGAACCUGUAGGACAGUAAUUUAGAAAUCAACAUUGAUGACAAACAAACAGCAAAAGUGAUUGUGAAUGGGGAUUUGAUAGAAAUUUUCAGUAUAAGAAAGGGUACAAGACAAGGAUGUCCAUUAUCCCCAUUACUAUCUAUACUAACUCUGGAAGUGCUAAACAGAAAUAUUAGACAAGAUUUAGAAAUAAAAGGGAUGGAAAUUAAAAAACGAAAAAUACAAACUGCAGGCAUUUGCAGAUGACCUGGUAUUCAUUUUAGAAGAACCACUUAGAAAGUGGCCCCAAACUAAUAAAGAAAAUAGAAGAAUAUGGAUAAGUUGCAGGAUUGAAAGUAAAUUAAAGAAAAAACCCAAAAUAUUAGUUUGAAACCUCACAGAUAAACAGAAAAAUGAAUUGGCUAAGACGACAAACCUUCAGGUGGUGAAAAAAGUAAAAUACCUAGGAAUCUAAUAGCGAGAUGUGCAACAGUUAAAGAAGGUAAUUAUACAAAAUCAAUACAACAAAUUAAGCAGGAUUUGGAGAAAUGGAAGAACCUGAAAAUAUCAAUGGUAGGAAGAAUAGCUACUUCUGUCCUACUAUUGCAGCACCAUUGAGAGUGUCCUGACAUAUGGCAAUCUUGCAUGGUAUGGGAUCAGCUUUGCAGCAGACAUAAAAGCUCUACAGAGAAUUAUUAAAACUGCCCAGAAUAUCAUGGGCGACAUCUUCGUAUCUUGCUGUUUGAGGAAGUUGCACAACAUUAUCAGAGAUUCUUCCCAUCCUGCUUACAGUCUUUUUGGACCAUUGCCUUCUGGCAGAAGAUACAGAACAAUUAAAACUCAGACCACACGUCUUCUGAAUAGUUUUGAUCCCAAAGCUAGAAUCGCACUCAACAAUGAACUAAAAGGACCAUCAUCAGUGAGCUGUUGGACAGCAUUACUUGGCCUGCUGUGUGGAUGUUUGGGUGGUUUAGGGGAAUUUUUGGUGGGUGGCAGCAUUUCUGGGGAUUGUCAUGUAUGUUGGGCUUAGUCUCUGGGUGUUAUGUGAAUUUCGUUGUAUGGGUAUACUGUGUAUAUACAUACAAUGCCAAUGAACUUUAUAUAUAUACAGAAGAUUACUACUUUUGGAGGGACAUGAUCUCCAAUUGGGGUAGCAUAAAUUUCUGUGGUAUAAUAAGAAUAAAAUAUUUCCAAAGACACUAUAUAAGAAAUCAGGUGCUACAAAAUAAAUGUGGUGAACCCAUACAGACAUACCUAAGGGAAUAUCGUUUGCCUUUGCCACAGAAAGCAAUUGGUAAGUUUGCAGCAGUUUCACUGCCAUUUGUAUGCUGGGAAACCAGAAUGGUGCCUGUGAAAAAUUGAUGCAUUGAGGGAGGGGGCAGCUGGUCACAGGCAGAUAGUAAGCAUCUGCCCGUUUUCCCUUGCUUCACUUUUGUCAUGGCUGCACAGCAUUGGCUCAUGACAUUCCCUUUUCUGUGCCUUUCUCUCUCAGAAUAUUGAUUAAAUCACCCUUCCCCAAGCUGAUAUUCUCCCAAUUUGUUGAAUUACAGUUCAGAUUAUCGUCACCAAUGACAUUAGCUGUGUUGGCAGGAAGUGAUGGAAAGUGUAGGCGAGCACAACUGGAGGGACCAGAUAGUGGAAGUGUUAUGGCCCACUAGUGGUCAGUGGAGCCGACUCGGACAGUGAGGAAGUUGGGGAGGAACAUGGACCAGUCCUGGAGUCUGGGGAAGGCUCUGAUGAGUGCUCUGUGUCGGAGGCAGAGAUGGGGCCAAGCCCAUUUGACAGUUAUCAGCUACCUUUGGAGUCGGAGAUAAGUGGGGCUGAAAAACAGCUGGAGCCUGUUCCCGAUAUGUGCAUGCGCAGAGCUGUCAGGAAAAGGGAACAGUUAAGGAACAAGGGUCAACUCAGGAGUGAAGGCACUGGUGGAUGGUGAAUGGUCCCUCCCAUAGGGAAUAAAGAGGAGGAAAAGGGAAGUGGAGUUUUCAGGAGACAAGCAUCUAAACGUUUUCCACUACUUGUUUUUCACUCUUGGGAAUUGUAUGCCAAUUACUGGCUAAUCUGUAAUAUGGUGAGCAGAGUACAGUACUUUGAUCCCUGAUCUCAAGUAACUAAAUCUAGGUUGUUUUGAACCUAAAAUGAGUUCCAGAUAUCUUGAAAGAAGAGCUAGAUAACCAUCUUUUUUUUUUUUUACAUCUUUUUGGUGGGCAAAGCAAGCUGAAGACACACAAGUUUGACAAAAGUUAUGAAAUGAAGCCUCCUUGAAGACAUUGAAAAGUUGACUUUGGUCCAUCCCAUUCAAUCUUGACCAGUAUUGCAGUCUUGAGAUUCAACUCAAUGGCUUUGUUACCAACACCAUGUUCCUUUUUUAGACCUGCGAGAUAUUUAAACCAAACACCCAUCUUGCAAUAUAGGAGAGUGCUAACCCUGACAUCGUUUAACAUAUUUUUUAAAAAAAUCUAUUUGGAUACCUCCCAAAUCUAGGUGAUCCCUUUGAAGAAAAGCUCAAGAAAAUCUCUUCUUGUGGUAAAAGGACAGUGAAGCUUCAGUCCAUAUAUUAUUGCAUUGCCCAUUUUAUAAAAAUGCACAAUGAGGUUUCGUGUUCCAUUUCUUAACUAAAUUUCAGAUCUGUCAAGUUUAUUUUACAUACAGAUGUUGUUAGUCAAUGAGUAUAUAUAGUUUAUUUAGCAUGAGUUUAAAUGGACUCCAGAGGAUGGUAGAGGACAGGAAGGCCUGGAGGAAUGUUGUCCAUGGGGUCGCGAUCGGUCAGACACGACUUCGCAUCUAACAACAACAUAUUUAGUUUCUUUGAAGGUAGCGGAGUCUUGUUUCAUUGCUUGUAAAAACCCGCUGUAACCAAUCGUUUCUUGAAUGAAUCAUUUUCCAAUUUUUUGAUGCCAGCUGGCCAGAGUCGUUCUGCAAUCAAGCAGCCUCUAAAUCUCAUAAAGAAAUAAAACGUAGCAAGCGCUAAACAAAUUCAGAUUUGUUUCAUUUUAUUUGGUCAAACAUUUAAUUUCUAUCUUCUUUAAGUGGAAUUGGGGUCAUUGACCCUAAUAAACGGACUCACCAGAGCUGUCUAAGCUACAGUGCGUCUGACAAGAUAGCCCUUCUGACAGAAUUAUUGCUAUGAAGAAAAAUUACCUAUGCUGCCUUGCAACCCCAUUCAAAAGGCAGAAUAUGAAUCUAACAAGUACAUUAUAGUUCCCGUUCAUCUCCAAAACAUCGUUUUUACAGGUCUUUU